rnacentral:rRNA from 1 species
AUUGAACGCUGGCGGCAGGCCUAACACAUGCAAGUCGAACGAGUGGCGGACGGGUGAGUAAUGUCUGGGAAACUGCCCGAUGGAGGGGGAUAACUACUGGAAACGGUAGCUAAUACCGCAUACCAUCGGAUGUGCCCAGAUGGGAUUAGCUAGUAGGUGGGGUAACGGCUCACGUAGGCGACGAUCCCUAGCUGGUCUGAGAGGAUGACCAGCAACACUGGAACUGAGAGACGGUCCAGACUACGACGUGAGGCAGGAGUGGGGAAUAUUGAACAAGGGGCGCAAGCCUGAUGCAGCCAUGCCGGGGGUAUGAAGAAGGCCUUCGGGUUGUAAAGUACUUUAAGCGAGGAGGCGUGACUGGCAGAAGAAGCACCGGCGAACUCCGUGCCAGAGCCGCGGUAAUAC